rnacentral:lncRNA from 1 species
CUUUAAAUAUAACACUUAUCUUACUAAUUUGGCAGCGAUUAUCCUUUUCUUUGUUUAAACAAAAACUGGAAUAAUGAUAACAUUUAUCUUUUUUUGCUGUUUAUAUUUAGGGGGGUUUGGUUUGGGGGGUUUUCUGGGUUUUUUUGGUAAAUCAAGUCUUGGUUGUGGCUUGCUGAAUUUAAAUAUUUAUGAGUGGUGCAUUUUUAAGUAUAGUGAACAAGACACCAUAUUAAGUGCAGUGAAAAGCAUGCCUGUAUGGGACUGUAAUGCGCUUAGUGGUCUGACUUAUACUGGAAAUGGGAGAGUAUUCUUAAAGUUUUUAACAUAAGCUUGUCAGUGCACACAUAGAUGGGUAGCAUGUUUAGCAAACCUUGUGAAAUUUAAAUAAGUUUGUAGUUACAUGUGGAAUUCUAAAUGCAUGAUAACUGUUAAUGUCAUAAUGGUUUAGUCAUUUUGUUAUGUUCUGUCAUGUGCCACAAAAUGUGUAAUUUUUUCACUUUUUUCCCUUUGUAUAUCAGUUACGGGUUUCAACUGGUUCAUUCUAAAAAAGAAAAAGAAACAAAACAGUCCAUUGAUAUUUUUUAACAAUUGUUUAAGUGCCCAAGUAAUUCACUACAGCCUACAGCCUUGCCUUUGUAAUUUGACUUCGAAAUGUUGGCAAUCAAAGCAUGCACUUGUAACAAUGAAAGAAGCAUUUUAUAUUACUACUCAAUAAAAAUGUGCAUGAACUUAAGCGCUCUUCCCUU